CAGUUAUCGUUUAUUUGAUAGUACCUUCUACAUGGAUAUCUGUGGUAAUUCUAGAGCUAAUACAUGCUAAAAACCCCAACUUCGGGAGGGGUGUAUUUAUUAGAUAAAAAACCAAUGCCCUCCGGGGCUCCUUGGUGAUUCAUGAUAACUUAACGAAUCGCAUGGCCUUGCGCCGGCGAUGGUUCAUUCAAAUUUCUGCCCUAUCAACUUUCGAUGGUAGGAUAGUGGCCUACCAUGGUAUCAACGGGUAACGGAGGAUUAGGGUUCGAUCCCGGAGAGGGAGCCUGAGAAACGGCUACCACAUCCAAGGAAGGCAGCAGGCGCGCAAAUUACCCAAUCCCGACACGGGGAGGUAGUGACAAUAAAUACUGAUACAGGGCUCUUUUGGGUCUUGUAAUUGGAAUGAGUACAAUUUAAAUACAUUAACGAGGAACAAUUGGAGGGCAAGUCUGGUGCCAGCAGCCGCGGUAAUUCCAGCUCCAAUAGCGUAUAUUAAAGUUGUUGCAGUUAAAAAGCUCGUAGUUGAACCUUGGGCUUGGUUGGCCGGUCCGCCUCACCGCGUGCACUGGUCCGACCGAGCCUUUCCUUCUGAGAAACCGCAUGCCCUUCACUGGGCGUGUCGGGGAAUCAGGACUUUUACUUUGAAAAAAUUAGAGUGUUCAAAGCAGGCAUAUGCUCGAAUACAUUAGCAUGGAAUAAUAGAAUAGGACGUGUGGUUCUAUUUUGUUGGUUUCUAGGACCGCCGUAAUGAUUAAUAGGGAUAGUCGGGGCUGUCUGUAUUCCAAUGUCAGAGGUGAAAUUCUUGGAUUACUGGAAGACAAACUACUGCGAAAGCAUUCAGCAAGGAUGUUUUCAUUAAUCAGUGAACGAAAGUUAGGGGAUCGAAGACGAUCAGAGAUUCUCCAUGUUGGCACCCAGGUGUCCGGUCGUCCACAGUACAGCUAGUCCGAUCUUCGGGCGACAUCAUCCAAUUGCGGAGCCCCUGCCUCUUUAGCAAGUCGCGGGUGAUCCACAGCCAAGCCCUUCGGCCUCGGAUCAGAUCUAUCCAAGCCAAUGGCGCAGUCUACAGACUGAAUGGAGAUGGGCCGAGGGCUCUAGAAGAGCUCCGGUUUUUGAGACAGUCGAGUCCAGCGCUUCACAGCGUUGGUAUUCACGCAGAUACCGUCGUAGUCUUAACCAUAAACUAUGCCGACUAGGGAUCGGACGAUGUUAUCAUUUUGACUCGUUCGGCACCUUACGAGAAAUCAUAAGUUUUUGGGUUCUGGGGGGAGUAUGGUCGCAAGGCUGAAACUUAAAGAAAUUGACGGAAGCGCACCAAAACUCUGGCUUUCCACGCCUGGUGGUGCUACAAACGUGGGCCCUCGGGCUCCGAUUAGUCUGUCCUACGGGGUGGGCGAGGUCUUUGGACUGUGAGGGGACUCCGGGCGCCGCGGCGCCCGAGUAUCCGCAGCUAUGGUGUUCAAACAGCCUGUAGUUCACAGGUCAAGUGGGGACCGGCGGGGGCACAGCGUGCCCACUGCUCAUGAUAUGAUCGGCCCCUGGGCGCAAAGUCCGGGGAUGUUGGCGCCAGGAGUGGAGCCUGCGGCUUAAUUUGACUCAACACGGGAAAACUCACGAGGUCCGGACAUACUUAGGAUUGACAGAUUGAGAGCUCUUUCUUGAUCGUAUGGAUGGUGGUGCAUGGCCGUUCUUAGUUGGUGGAGUGAUUUGUCUGCUUAAUUGCGAUAACGAACGAGACCUUAUUCUGCUAAAUAGCCCAGCUUGCUUUGGCAGGUUGCUGGCUUCUUAGAGAGACUAUCGGCUCAAGCCGAUGGAAGUUUGAGGCAAUAACAGGUCUGUGAUGCCCUUAGAUGUUCUCGGCCGCACGCGCGCUACACUGACAGAGCCAACGAGUACACUUCCUUGGCCGAAAGGCUUGGGUAAUCUUAGAAACUCUGUCGUGCUGGGGAUAGAGCAUUGCAAUUAUUGCUCUUCAACGAGGAAUUCCUAGUAGGUGCACGUCAUCAGCGUGCGCCGGAUUCGUCCCUGCGCUUUGUACACACCGCCCGUCGCUACUACCGAUUGAAUGGCUCAGUGAGGCCUUCGGACUGGCUCAGGGAGGUCGGCAACGACCACCCAGAGCUGGAAAGUUGGUCAAACUCGGUCAUUUAGAGGAAGUAAAAGUCGU
rnacentral:rRNA from 1 species